UACGUAGGGUGCAAGCGUUAAUCGGAAUUACUGGGCGUAAAGCGCACGCAGGUGGCUGAGUCAGUCGAUUGUGAAAGCCCUGGGCUUAACCUGGGAAUUGCAGUCGAUACUACUCAGCUAGAGUAUGGGAGAGGGUAGUGGAAUUCCCGGUGUAGCGGUGAAAUGCGUAGAUAUCUGGAGGAACGCCGGUGGCGAAAGCGACAUGCUGGACCUCCAUUGACGCUGAGGCGCGAAAGCCAGGGGAGCAAACGGG
rnacentral:rRNA from 1 species